AGCUAUGAGGCAAAUAAGAACUAGAACUUGAACAUUUGAAAAAUUCUCAGUAUACCCAUAUUGCAAGAAAUGAUGAAGCACGCUCUGGAAAGAACACUAAGGGUGUCAUGGGACUAACUUUUGCUGGAGAGAUUAGACUUGUGACUCAUGAGUUCACUCAACCAUCUCAGUAGAACCUCUGCCCUCUUGGACUGAAAGGGACAGAGAUUUGACAAAAUGUAAGAAGGCAGUCAGACUUCUGGAAUUCCUGGGUAGGAAAUGGGCUGAAAGGGCUACUUGACAAUGAAUACAUAUCAUUUUUCAAGAAAAGCAAAGCAUGAUUUUGAGAGUAGCUCAGAGGCCAGCAGGGCUGUGGAAGAUCUGCCUACACACUGAUUUUGGAUUUCUAGCCUUCAGAACUCUGAGAUAAUACAUUUCUGAUUUUAUACAACCUAGUCUGUGAUAACUUGUUAUGGCAGCACUAGGAAACAAUGAAACCUCUCAGCGUCUUUUGAUAGUGCUUAAUAUCAUCUCAAAAAUCCCUUUUACCAUGACUUCUAUUACACCAAGGCUUUGAGCUUGUUACUAUUACUACCUGUUUUUAAUGCAUUUUCCAUGUUGCAACCAGAGUGUUCCUUUAAUUGCUUAUGUAACAGUUUAUUUCCAGUGAUUCUGGUUACAUGGAACUCCUGCAUGGCUAUCUGGUUUGUUUUUGUUUGUUUGUUUGUUUGUUUGUUUGUUUUGAGACAGAGUCUCACUCUGUCACCCAGGCGGGAGUGUGGUGGCACAAUCUCAGCUCACUGCAACCUCUGCCUCCUGGGUUCAAGCAAUUCUCCUGCAUCUGCCACUUGAGUAUCCGGGAUUAAAGCCCUGUACCACCACACCUGGUUAAUUUUUUGGUAGAGACAGUUUCACCAUUAUGGCAAGGCUAGUCUUGAACUCCUGACCUCAGAUGAUCCACCCGCCUCGGCCUCCCAAAAUGCUGGGAUUACAGGUGUGAGCCACCUCGCCCGGCCACAUGGCUAUCUUUACAGCAAUGAUUCAGAGACCAGGUUCCUGGCAUCCUGUUGCUCCACCAUUAUAUAGAACCACUUAUUGAUGGAGAGGGAAUAAUAAGUGAGAAUGGGGGAUCACGUAUUGGAGAUUUUAAUGGAUGGGACUGACCUAGAAGCAAUGCACAUCUAUCUCUUCACAUUUCAUUGAUUAGAAUUCAGUGGCAUUACCACACCUAGAUAAAAAAGAAAAAAAAAA
rnacentral:lncRNA from 10 species